AAAAAAAAAAAAAAAAAAAAAAAGAAAAAAUGUUCUGCAGCUGGGCUGCACCUCAAUGAAUGAAUUGGUGCACUGUGAGCCACCAUCAUCUACCCACUGGAUUUCCAUUUACUCCCGGCAUCCACCCCGAACAUAUGAAUCUGCUUAGACAGAGCCUUUUAAGGAGUUGAAAAGAUCAGGUCGGAGAAAAUGGCACAACGCGUGGUUUUCUUUUUGCUGUGGCUCUUUGACCAGACCUUAGCCGGAUUUCCGAAUCAGAUUAACAUCGGGGGACUGUUCAUGCGAUCCACGGUGCAGGAGCACAGCGCGUUCAGGUUUGCUGUCCAACUCUACAACACCAAUCAAAACACCACCGAGAAACCCUUCCACCUCAACUACAACGUCGACAAUCUCGAGUCGUCCAACAGCUUCUCGGUCACCCAUGCAUUUUGCUCCCAGUUCUCCCGUGGGGUGUACGCCAUCUUCGGAUUCUACGACAAGAAGUCCAUGAACACCUUGACCUCCUUCUGCGGUGCUCUGCACACCUCCUUUGUCACGCCCAGUUACCCCACCGAUAACGAGGUGCAGUUUGUCAUCCAGAUGCGGCCGACCCUGAGGGGCGCUGUGCUCAGCCUGCUCUCCUACUACAAGUGGCAGAAGUUUGUUUACCUCUAUGACACCGAUCGAGGUUUUUCCAUCCUGCAGGCUAUCAUGGAGGCAGCAGUGGCCAACAACUGGCAGGUGACUGCUCGCUCUGUCAGCAGCACAACAAACGCAACAGAGUUCAAGCAAGUCAUUGAAGAGAUGGACAGGAGGCAGGAGAAGCGCUAUGUGAUCGACUGCGAGGUGGACCGCAUUGAUACUAUAUUGGAACAGGUUGUGACCGCGGGGAAGAACAGCCAUGGUUACCACUACAUGCUGGUCAAUCUUGGAUUUUCGAAUGUGAGUAUGGGCAAAGUCAUCGCCGGAGGAGCCAACAUUUCAGGGUUUCAGAUCGUCAACCCCGAGAACCCAAUUGUGCAGCAGUUCAAACAGCGAUGGGACCAGCUGGAUGAAAGAGAAUUCCCAGAAGCUCGCAACGCUCCUCUGAAGUACACCUCUGCUCUGACCCACGACGCCAUCCUAGUGAUAGCCGAGGCAUUCAGGUACCUGAGGCGCCAACGUGUAGACGUCUCUCGUCGAGGCAGCGCAGGAGACUGUCUGGCGAAUCCCGCCGUACCCUGGAGCCAGGGCAUAGACAUCGAGAGAGCUCUGAAAACGGUCCAGCUGCAGGGGAUGACCGGGAAUAUCCAGUUUGACAACUAUGGCCGCAGGACCAAUUACACAAUAGAGAUACAUGAAAUGAAAAUGGAUGGGCCAAAGAAGAUUGGUUGCUGGAACGAGUACACAGGAUUUGUAAAUAUUAUGGAUCCUCAGGUCAACAUCUCAGAGGAAAACCGAACCAUUGUGGUCACUACUAUUAUGGAAGCUCCUUAUGUGAUGUACAAGAAAAAGUUUGCGGAUCUGAAGGGGAAUGACAGAUAUGAAGGCUACUGCGUCGAUUUAGCAUCUGAGAUUGCCAAACAUGUUGGAAUUAAGUACAAACUGUCAAUAGUAAUGGACGGCAAGUAUGGAGCCCGAGACCCUGAGACCAAGACGUGGAACGGGAUGGUGGGUGAACUGGUCUAUGGGAGGGCAGAUAUAGCCGUUGCGCCUCUCACCAUUACUCUGGUUCGAGAGGAGGUGAUAGACUUUUCCAAGCCCUUUAUGAGCUUGGGCAUCUCCAUUAUGAUAAAGAAGCCACAAAAAUCCAAGCCUGGCGUUUUCUCCUUCCUGGACCCACUGGCCUAUGAGAUCUGGAUGUGUAUAGUGUUUGCCUACAUUGGUGUGAGCGUGGUACUGUUCCUGGUCAGUCGGUUCAGCCCGUAUGAGUGGAACCUUGAGGAACAGGAUGAGACCAAAGACCCCCAGACUGCCCCCGAUCCUCCCAAUGACUUUGGCAUCUUCAACUCUCUGUGGUUCUCACUGGGCGCCUUCAUGCAGCAGGGCUGCGACAUCUCGCCAAGGUCUCUUUCAGGGCGCAUCGUUGGUGGCGUUUGGUGGUUCUUCACCCUCAUCAUCAUCUCCUCCUACACUGCCAACCUGGCUGCCUUCUUGACAGUGGAGAGAAUGGUGUCACCUAUAGAGAGUGCAGAGGAUCUAGCAAAGCAGACAGAGAUUGCGUACGGCACUCUGGACUCAGGCUCCACAAAAGAGUUUUUCAGGCGAUCCAAAAUAGCGGUGUACGAGAAGAUGUGGUCUUACAUGAAAUCCGCAGAGCCCAAUGUGUUUGUUAAGACCACGCCAGACGGCGUCGCCCGAGUGCGAAAGUCAAAGGGCAAGUUUGCCUUUCUCCUUGAGUCCACGAUGAACGAGUACAUCGAGCAGCGGAAGCCGUGCGACACCAUGAAAGUGGGAGGGAACCUCGACUCCAAAGGCUACGGUGUGGCGACGCCCAAAGGCUCAGCAUUAAGAAAUGCUGUUAACCUGGCAGUUUUAAAACUGAAUGAGCAAGGCCUCUUGGACAAAUUGAAAAACAAAUGGUGGUACGACAAGGGAGAGUGCGGCAGCGGGGGAGGUGACUCCAAGGUCAGCCUCGAUGUCACCACAAUCGGGUACCAUAGUUCAGAGUAAUCGGCAAAGCUGUUAGCAAAGAACGCAACCGAAAUCUGUCCUGAUCCAGACCAAACCAACCAACCUGCUGCACUGAGGCAGAUGAUAAAAGUGUUAGGCUCACCAGAUGGUGUAAUGGCUUGUUUGGAAGCUAAGGAGCUUUUGCCUUAACUAGCUGAAAAACAUCACUUGUAGAGUUAAAAGUCUGAGAAGUACCCGGCCUCUGAGGCUUCUGGAGGUGAAUGUGGCUGCUCUAUAGCUGUGAAAGGAUUAAAUGUGUUCAUUCACCCUGAUGUAAAGGGCAAUUCAAUCAAUAUUAGGGAGUAAUAGAGAUGCAUUCAUCAGAAUUUUCUGGCCAAUUUAUGUUCUGUAGUUUUUGUAAAGCUUUGGCAUGUCAAUAACCUGAUUCUGGUUUUUCGUUAAGAAGUGCAUUGUUAGAACUGCAAUAUAAGAGUAGGAUUGCGAAUAAUAAUUUCAAAAUCGGCUUUAUUAUUUUCAAAGACAGAUUAAUUACAGGGCUGACAUUUUAACUUGUCUUUAGCAUUCUCUGUUCGCAAUUUACUCGGUUAGUGUAGUUAAUAUUACAAAAAAUUGCACUCUGUGUACUAAAAUUAAAAUGUAUUAAUCUGAAAUUUAUUCAACUACUAAACUUUUUGAAAUCCAAAGUGUCCCAUCAAACAGUUCUUGAAAGCUAAAAAGGAUAAAACUGACCAAAUUUACUGUAGCUUGUUCAAUUUUCCUGCGCUUUCACACAUCCUACAACAACCUGCAACUAUUGAAAAUAGCUACUUUCAGGCUUCAGUCAGUAACAGUAUUCCACACCAAAGAGUGUUGUCAGUGAACACACCAUACACACACAAAUGUUUGGUGUUUUCACUGAUUGGGUAAAAGAUAACUGUUUGUGUUUUGGGCAUAGGUUCAACUUAUUUUGAUCACCAUCUGAUUUCACAGUGCGCAGUAAGUUAUAAUAGCGGAUAAAGUCACAUUUACUUAUAGAAAAGAGCUCGUCAACAAUACUACUUCAUAAAAGUCAACAUAAGUGCAGUUUUGGAGAUUUGGUGAAAGCAGCUUUGCUGUACUUAGGUACACAGCUGCUUCAUAUUAGCAGCUCAGGUUAAGAGGAGCCAGUUUUUCUCAAAUGGAAAAUGGCUGCCAGACAGGCAGAUCAUAAAGCGAGGGGAACAGCGGUGUCUUGAGGGGACUAAGCAUUACAGGCAAACGUGAGAACUCUAAUUAAAGGCAACACUUUUUUUAUUGUUUGCUUUUUGUUUGUUUUUUUAAUGAAAGCUACCUGUGGUUUGAAUCCCUUCCAACUGUGACCCCUCAGACCACCAGAUCUCCCCAACUUGUUUUCCAGUGCACCGACCAGUAGUUCAAAGUGUGAAACCACAGUGGAAUGAGUGAGUGAUUGUUGAGUUCUGACAAAAUCCAAUUUAAAUUCAAACUUCAAAUUUAAGUUGUUGUUUUUUUGUUUUUUUUUUUUUUGUAUCAUUCCAGCUUGCAAAAACAGAAUGCUUCAAUGAAAGACCAAAAUUAUUUUUGACAUACUUACACUGAUAUAAGUAUGUAAAUGUCUGACCGUAGCUGAAUUUUUGAAUUUCUCUUCUUGGCAGUCUCAUCUUUACAAGAAAACUCCUCAAUGUAAUCUUUAUCCUCUACACUUUUUUAUUUUUAUUUUAAUCGAGCAACUGCUAACUUUUUAGGUCACUUGUUUCAAGAAGCCCCUCUGCCGCAUACAGCAGUUUCCAUCGCUCUUCUCUAAAGCGCUAUAGAAGUCCAAGAAAUGUACGAUCUGUCUGUUUCAUGAUUUCUCCUCAGGGAAGAUUGGAAAGGUAGACUAAACUAGCCUGGAGCGAUGUGUUUGGAUCAUCCAAUCACCUGGUCUGGGACUGCUAUGAAGUCCUUUAGCAGACAUGAAGAGACGCACGGAUUUGUUUUCAUCCAGCAGCAUGUGCAUCCACCCACACACACGCACACACAUACCGAGUUCCUCCUCACCCUCAGGCCCAACACACCGCAGCCCAGAUUGACUUUCAGACACAGAGCAUGUUGCUGGGUAAUUGCAUUGUUAAUCAAUGUCUUUCCAAGUCAAGACAAUGGUUUGGUCUUCACACUCUGUUUCUCCAGAUUGGCUAGGAAGGAUAUACAGUGGCGUAAUCUUCUUCAGUGCAUUAUCUGUCGCACGGAUCCCUUCUGCGGGGGAGGGAGGGCACAUUGUUUUGAGGUAGUAGUCAGGUCACUCAUUUAUCAAUGUUCUAUGGUUUUGCUUCUAAUAGAACUUUUACAUCUGAUGAAAAAUCUUGCUGAACUACAAAUGACUAAGAAUCAUAAAGUGACUCCUACAUGUGUGCUUUUAUCUAGAUUAGAUUUUUUUUUCUUCUUCUUUCUUACAUCUGAUCAUUUAGAUUCCAGACUAGGCGAAUAAUACACUUUGUUAUGCAGCUGCAGGCAAACACGAGACAAAUAUGCCACUACUCUUGAGCUUCGUCCUGCAGCUAUCAUCUGUUACUAAUCUGUCAAAACAUAAAGGUUUUCUCCGUGAUAAAUGGCAGCAAACCUGCAUAAUUCCGCUUUAAUUUUUGGGCCUCGUUUACUUCCAGAAUUUCUUCUUGUCAGUAUACACCAAGACAAAAGCAUUUUGUUGAAAAACAUAAGGUCUGAAUUUGAUUUUUUCCGCUUAGUAAAGACAAAGCUCCUGACAGAACGACCUGCAGCUGAUAGCCUCUGGUUCUCCCUGCCUAUAUGUUUCUCUGGUUGAUGGUCACAGACUUGCAGAUCGUACUUUCAGUACCUGCUUGUCGCCGUGUUAGCAGCAUCUGCCGAUUACUCGAAGCGAUUAGGUAGGUCCUGGCUUUACACUAGGGGUUACACAGGUGAUAGGUAGAAUGCCUGCUCUUUGUGAUGUUGACUACAGCCAGGUGUCCUGCUUUAUCGCUUUGUAAAGUAUGUAGUAGUUUAAAAGUUGAAUAACAUAAAAUAACAUAAUAUAAUGUUAUUUAUGUUAUUUCCCACGUGAAGAACUCCUGUAAACCUUGCAGUAUUGAAACUCAGUGAACAAGGCAUCUUAGACAAGCUGAAAAACAAAUGGUGGUACGAUAAGGGUGAAUGUGGAACCAAGGACUCUGGAAGUAAGGACAAGACAAGUGCUCUCAGCCUAAGCAAUGUGG